rnacentral:rRNA from 1 species
GACGAACGCUGGCGGCGUGCUUAACACAUGCAAGUCGAACGGAAAGGCCCCCACUUUUUUGGUGGGGGUGCUCGAGUGGCGAACGGGUGAGUAACACGUGGGUGAUCUGCCCUGUACUUCGGGAUAAGCUUGGGAAACUGGGUCUAAUGCCGGAUAGGACCAUGGUUUAGUGUCUCAUGGUGGAAAAAUUAUUGUUUUGGUGCAGGAUGAGCUCGCGGCCUAUCAGCUUGUUGGUGGGGUAAUGGCCUACCAAGGCGUCGACGGGUAGCCGGCCUGAGAGGGUGGACGGCCACAUUGGGACUGAGAUACGGCCCAGACUCCUACGGGAGGCAGCAGUGGGGAAUAUUGCACAAUGGGCGCAAGCCUGAUGCAGCGACGCCGCGUGGGGGAUGACGGCCUUCGGGUUGUAAACUCCUUUCGUUAGGGACGAAGCCGCACCUUUUUUGGGUGUGGUGACGGUACCUUUGUUAAGAAGCACCGGCUAACUACGUG